GAUGAACGCUAGCGGCAGGCUUAAUACAUGCAAGUCGAGGGGUAGCAAGAUUGUAGCAAUACAAUUGUUGACGACCGGCAAACGGGUGCGGAACACGUACACAACCUUCCUACAAGUGGGGAAUAGCCCAGAGAAAUUUGGAUUAAUACCCCGUAACAUAGCGAUGUGGCAUCACAUUGCUAUUAUAGCUUCGGCGCUUGUUGAUGGGUGUGCGGCUGAUUAGAUAGUUGGCGGGGUAACGGCCCACAAAGUCUACGAUCAGUAGCUGAUGUGAGAGCAUGAUCAGCCACACGGGCACUGAGACACUGGCCCGACUCCUACGGGAGGCAGCAGUAAGGAAUAUUGGACAAUGGACGCAAGUCUGAUCCAGCCAUGCCGCGUGAAGGAUUAAGGUCCUCUGGAUUGUAAACUUCUUUUAUAAGGGACGAAAAAAGGUCUUUCUAGAUCGUCUGACGGUACCUUAUGAAUAAGCACCGGCUAACUCCGUGCCAGCAGCCGCGGUAAAAC
rnacentral:rRNA from 1 species